rfam:Chromobacterium sp. 37-2 Cmus_37-2.1, whole genome shotgun sequence.
UUUUAUGGCGGGCAGUGGUGGGAGCGUGCUUGCACGCGCCGGUUCCUUAGUGCCGGUAGACCAAUCCCGCCAUAUGCCUGCCACCCCC